AGCUGUUACAUACAAGUCCCAGUGUCAGUCUGGGGUCCACCUUUCCAAUCCAUUCCUACUGCAGAGGAACGGUGUACAAACUAGGCUCCAGCUGGUAAUGCCACCAUUCACUGCAUGUGUGAAGCAUCAGCAUGACGUGGGGUGCACGGUGCUUAGAGCAAGCUCCCCUGGGCUCUGCCUAUUUCCUGAAGCAAGAAACACUGUAGGAGGUCUCUAUGGUUCUCCUUUUGAAAGCCCAGGGAAGAUCUUUCCUGCCUCCGUCCAUCCGUCUGUCCGUCCGUCGUGCCCUUGUAGCUUGUGGACACACUGUUCCAGUGCCUGCCUGUGUCACGUGACCACUUACCUGGGUUUGUGUCGGCGUCUUGUUUUUCUCCCCUUAGAUGAUCACCAGUUCCAGCUUGAGGUUCCCUACUAAUUCAGAAAUACCUCACCUGAACUUGGUUACUGCUGCCAAGACUCUGUUUCCAAAUAUGGGCCAGGAGUUAGAACCUGACUCUCACCGCAUUCUGCUCACCAGACAUGAAAAAUGGAAAUUACUUAAAAUAAAAUGGUUCCCUUAAAU